GGGCUUGUGGUGUAAUGGUAGCAACCGGGAUCUCACUAAUUGGUAACCGGGGAUGUCGGUUCAAAUCCGGCCAAGUCCC